GGUUGAGUAGCGAAGUGGCUAAACGCCUCUGACUGUAAAUCAGAUCUCCCAUUGGAGUUCGAAGGUUCGAUUCCUUCCUCAACCACCA
rnacentral:tRNA from 1 species